rfam:Schistosoma curassoni strain Dakar, Senegal genome assembly, scaffold: SCTD_scaffold0005687
AUCCAGCUGAUGAGUACAAUACAGGACAAAACGCGCGUCCUGUAU